GUCAUGUUUUUUAUGGCAGCAGCUUUGGUGUUGAGGAAAGAGCAUUGGACUUGGAGUCAGAAGACUUGGGUCUGAGUCCCGACU
rnacentral:miRNA from 1 species